GAGGGUGUAGCUCAGUGGUAGAGCACAUGCUUAGCCUUCACGAGGUCCUGGGUUCAAUCCCCAGUACUUUUC
rnacentral:tRNA from 1 species